rnacentral:rRNA from 1 species
CCUACGGGGGGCAGCAGUGGGGAAUAUUGCACAAUGGGGGGAACCCUGAUGCAGCGACGCCGCGUGGGUGAAGGAGUACUUCGGUAUGUAAAGCCCUAUCAGCAGGAAAGAAAAUGACGGUACCUGAGUAAGAAGCCCCGGCUAACUACGUGCCAGCAGCCGCGGUAAUACGUAGGGGGCAAGCGUUAUCCGGAUUUACUGGGUGUAAAGGGAACGUAGACGGCAGUGCAAGUCCGGAGUGAAAGCCCGGGGCUCAACCCUCGGACUGCUCUGGAAACUGUAAAGCUGGAGUGCGGGAGGGGCAGGCGGAAUUCCUGGUGUAGCGGUGAAAUGCGUAGAUAUCAGGAGGAACACCAGUGGCGAAGGCGGCCUGCUGGACCGUAACUGACGUUGAGGCUCGAAAGCGUGGGGAGCAAACAGGAUUAGAUACCCGAGUAGUC